CAGCUAUCAAAAUCUAUCUAUUAUAUAUACAAUGAUUGCACAAAAUAAUUUCUUCAUUUACUGUCAUAGCAAUGUAUACACAAUGAAAUGAGAAAAUAGUUCUUCAUGUACACACUAUGAAACCAAAAUCUCUGAAGUACUUGCUUCUUCCAUGAUGGGAAGCAACAGAAGGCUAUACAAGAUUCCCUAUAGAGAAGGAAGAAAUCAUGAUAAACACUAUAUGCUAGGUCUCACAUAUAAAUAUAUUUAUCAAAAAUUUCUUAUUAAUUAUAUAUAAACACACAAAUGUAGGAAAUAAUUUCACUAAAACAAUCUUGUAUAAUAAGAAUGGCUUAUAGUUUUCUAUAACGCAUAUGAGGUAGCAGUGGCGUAGAAUUUGUUCACCCAACCAACUGUAGCAAAGCUUUUCGGCUUAAGCCCUAGCGAUAAAAAUGGGCUUGAGUUUUCUCUAACGUAAUCACGGCGCACAAGCCAUUUGCAGAGAAUUCCACACUUCUCGAA
rnacentral:misc_RNA from 1 species